rnacentral:rRNA from 1 species
GUGCCAGCCGCCGCGGUAAGACAGAGGGUGCAAACGUUGCUCGGAAUUACUGGGCGUAAAGCGCGUGUAGGCGGUGCCGCACGUCCGAUGUGAAAGCCCGGGGCUCAACCCCGGACGUGCAUUGGAUACGACGGCGCUGGAGUCCUGAAGAGGAGGGCGGAAUUCCCGGUGUAGAGGUGAAAUUCGUAGAUAUCGGGAGGAACACCAGUGGCGAAGGCGGCUCUCUGGACAGGUACUGACGCUGAGACGCGAAAGCGUGGGUAGCAAACAGGAUUAGAAACCCUCGUAGUCC